GCACCCCAUCACCAACAGACUGACAUUAGCGACACUCAGCACUUGGUGUGGCGCUGUUUCAGCAACAGAAUCAGCUUUAUCCCCAAAGUAACAGCCAGGUUUUAACAUGCAAAGAAUGUGCCCUGGUAUUUUGGUGCCUAACACACAGGAAGAGCCCCCCCAAAACACCUGUUGCAUCAGCAGGGUUGGAGAUGGUGGACACCUACAUGCUACCCAUGGUGCAUCUGAACAAAAAACAGGAGUGGACAGACAACACUGAGGCCGUCUACAGGAAGGGAGCGAGCAGGCUGUUAUUUCUGAGGAGGCACAAUUUUUAUUAUAUUUUCUAUUCAAAUUGA